rnacentral:rRNA from 1 species
UAGGGAAUAUUAGUAAUGGGCGCAAGCCUGAACUAGCAACACCGCGUGUGCGAAGAAGGCCUUCGGGUUGUAAAGCACUUUUCGGGAGGAUGAGGAAGGACGGUACUCUCGGAAUAAGUCUCGGCUAACUACGUGCCAGCAGCCGCGGUAAAACGUAGGAGGCGAACGUUAUCCGGAUUUACUGGGCGUAAAGCGCGUGUAGGUGGUUUGGUAAGUAGGGCGUGAAAGCUCCUGGCUCAACUGGGAGAGGUCGUUCUAAAUUGCCGAGCUAGAGGAUGGUAGAGGGAGGUGGAAUUCCGGGUGUAGCGGUGGAAUGCGCAGAUAUCCGGAGGAACACCAGUGGCGAAAGCGGCCUCCUGGACCACUCCUGACACUCAGACGCGAAAGCUAGGGUAGCAAACGG